rnacentral:rRNA from 1 species
AACGCGAAGAACCUUACCUGGGUUUGAAAUUCAGUUGAAGUGUACAGAGAUGUGCAUGUCCCGCAAGGGACAAUUGGACAGGUGCUGCAUGGCUGUCGUCAGCUCGUGCCGUGAGGUGUUGGGUUAAGUCCCGCAACGAGCGCAACCCUUAUUCUUAGUUGCCAUCAGGUAAAGCUGGGCACUCUGGGGAGACUGCCGGCAUAAGUCGGAGGAAGGUGGGGAUGACGUCAAGUCAGCAUGGCCCUUACAUCCAGGGCUACACACGUGCUACAAUGGCCGAUACAAAGGGCUGCUAAGCCGCGAGGUGGAGCGAAUCCCAUAAAGUCGGUCUCAGUUCGGAUUGUAGGCUGCAACUCGCCUGCAUGAAGUCGGAAUCACUAGUAACCGCAGAUCAGCCACGCUGUGGUGAAUACGUUCCCGGGCCUUGUACACACCGAGACGUA